AUUGAACGCUGGCGGCAGGCCUAACACAUGCAAGUCGAGCGGGGUUUUCGGACCUAGCGGCGGACGGGUGAGUAAUGCGUAGGAAGCUACCCGAUAGAGGGGGAUACAAGUUGGAAACGACUGUUAAUACCGCAUAAUGUCUACGGACCAAAGUGUGGGACCUUCGGGCCACAUGCUAUCGGAUGCGCCUACGUGGGAUUAGCUAGUUGGUGGGGUAAUGGCUCACCAAGGCGACGAUCCCUAGCUGGUUUGAGAGGAUGAUCAGCCACACUGGAACUGAGACACGGUCCAGAAUCCUACGGGAGGCAGCAGUGGGGAAUAUUGGAAAAUGGGCGCAAGCCUGAUCCAGCCAUGCCGCGUGUGUGAAGAAGGCCUUCGGGUUGUAAAGCACUUUCAGUAGGGAGGAAGGGUUAAGUGUUAAUAGUACUUAACUUUGACGUUACCUACAGAGGAAGCACCGGCUAACUCUGUGCCAGCCGCCGCCGUAACAC
rnacentral:rRNA from 1 species